GAAGUCACCUGCCAGUAUCCAGCGGCGGCUCAUAGGAGAGGAAGUCACCCGCCAGUAUCCAGUGGCGGCUCAUAGGAGAGGAAGUCACCCGCCAGUAUCCCGCGGCUCAUAGGGGAGGAAGUCACCCGCCAGUAUCUGGUGGCGGGGAGUCAAGACAGAGACUUCCAGUUGAGUCACAUUCAGUCUGUUCGCCUCAACUUGGAGGUAUCAAGGCCUCACCCCGGGGAGUGGCCUGCAGUUAUCCCUGCAGCAAGGCGGAGAGCCAGGUGUUGUUCCGUUUUACAGAAAAGUUUUUUACAAACUUGGUUGUUGGGUCUUCUUCAGCAUGGAGGAGUCAGCGUCCCAUCUGAAGUCACUCUCAAGUACGAAGCUGAGAGGCCAAUCCACGCCCAGGCCACAGAGAAUAGCCCCUUUAGGACUAGAGAUCUUGAGAAGGCCAGCUCCCGCAUCCGGUGAUCCAGAGCUUUCUGCAACUGUUUUCUUACUAAUGAGAGGCACCGUAUAGCUGAAGGCCCUCUUGAGGCCAGACUCUGUGUGUGUGUGUGUGUGUGUGUGCAUGCUUGUGUGUGUGUGUGCACAUUUGGUUAUAUGUACGCAUGUGCCAUUGUGUACAUUUGUGUGAGUGCAUGUGCUCAUGUGUGCACAUGUGUGUGCGUGAGUAUACACAAACGCGUGCUCAUGUGUGUGUGCACAUUUGAGUAUGUGUACGUAUGUGCCAUUGUGUACAUUUGUGUGAGUGCAUGUGCUCAUAUGUGCACAUGUGUGUGCAUGAGUAUACACAAAUGUGUGCUCAUGUGUGUAUGCGUGUGCUGCGUAGUUCUUGCAGCAGCGGCUCUGAUGGCUCAUUCUCCAUGUUGCAGAAGAGCAGAUAGAAGCUCAGAAAGGCUCAGGAAGAGCCCUUGUCUCCUUUGCAGCACUUGCUAUAAUUGCCUUAAAAUAAUCAUCUAUGGAAUUAUCUGCCCAUGGUCUGCCUCUGCCUAGUGUCUGUAAGCUCCAUGGUCUCA
rnacentral:lncRNA from 10 species